AUUGAAAGAUCUGCAUUCUGUAGAAUACUCUCAAAUGUUUUCCUGUUUUCAUUUUUAGCCAUUUAGUUCUCAUGGCUCCGUUCCAGGACUCUUUAAUUUGCCAGUAGCUGUUUUUCCUACACAGAUUACAGGAGUAAUUCAUCAGUGAAUGUUUCACUCAGUGGUCCCAUCUAAUAAUGGAGCCUGGAGUGCAGGAAGCUGGUAUUUGUUUCACAUUGAUGCUAAUGGUGUGAGAUCUUUCUGCUGUUUGCUGUCUGGGAAAUAAAGAUAGUACAGCUCAUCGUAAGAGGUAUCUGUUACAAUAAUGGAAAACUGACUGACACAAGAAAUUUUCUGAUCAGACACAUGAAGCAUAUGAGGAAGCAAUCAAGUGAAUAUUUAGGGAAAAGCCAUUUAAGCAGAGGGAAAGCAUCCUGGGAUGUCUAUGCUGGGAUAUUUUGGUGAAUUUGAGAAAAAGUAAGUAGAAAGGAUUUGUGAAACUGGUGCUCAGUGAUUUAUGAGUUGAAUUUAAAAGGUUUCCAGAAAUUAACUCAUACAGGAAUGUUUCUGCCAUAAUAAGAUUUUGGAUUUUAUU
rnacentral:lncRNA from 1 species